rnacentral:rRNA from 1 species
AAUUUGAAAUCUGGCCCCUUCGGGGUCCGAGUUGUAAUUUGUAGAGAGUGCUUCGGGGGAGACCGCGGUCUAAGUCCAUUGGAACAUGGCGUCCCAGAGGGUGAGAAUCCCGUAUGUGACCGCGGCUCGAGCCCAUGUGAAGCCUCUUCGACGAGUCGAGUUGUUUGGGAAUGCAGCUCUAAAUGGGUGGUAAAUUUCAUCUAAAGCUAAAUACUGGCUGGAGACCGAUAGCGCACAAGUAGAGUGAUCGAAAGAUGAAAAGCACUUUGGAAAGAGAGUUAAACAGUACGUGAAAUUGUUGAAAGGGAAGCGCUUGCAACCAGACCUGCCCGUAGGCGAUCAACCGCUGUUCUCAGCGGUGCACUCGUUCUGCGAUCAGGCCAGCAUCGGUUCGGGCGGUUGGAUAAAGGCCUUGGGAAUGUAGCUUCCCUUCGUGGGAGUCUUAUAGCCCUCGGUGCAAUGCGGCCAGCCGGGACCGAGGACCGCGCUUCGGCUAGGAUGCUGGCGUAAUGGCUGUAAGCGACCC